UACGUAGGGGGCAAGCGUUGUCCGGAUUUAUUGGGCGGAAAGAGCGUGUAGGCGGCUUGGUAGGUCCGCUGUGAAAACUCGAGGCUCAACCUCGAGAUGUCGGCGGAAACCACUUGGCUAGAGUCCGGAAGAGGAGAGUGGAAUUCCCGGUGUAGCGGUGAAAUGCGCGGAUAUCGGGAAGAACACCUAUGGCGAAGGCAGCUCUCUGGGACGGUACUGACGCUGAGACGCGAAAGCGUGGGGAGCGAACAGG
rnacentral:rRNA from 1 species